AUAGCAAAUCUGUUACUUUGCCACAAAGAACUUCUUAUCAGCAGCAAUAUAAAGUAGACCUAAUGACCAUCUGAUAAGAUCUGACAAGAAAUAAAACAACUAAGCAUUCAUAUUUAUAAUGUUAAGAUGAUCAUAGCAGGAAGUAUCAAAAGAUAGAGAUAAUUUAUUUCACUCUUUAAAGUUUUUUUAAACUUUACAUAUAGAUUAUAAUAUCCACAAUGUAUUAGUACACAGGACAUAUAUAUAACUUAGAAAUAAAAAUAUAUUUCUGUCACAUAAAAAUCUUCAAUGGUAAGCUAUAAAGUCAAAAUAUGGGUGUUGGGAGUACAGCUCAGUGACACAAUAACUGCCCAGUGAUGGGGGAGGUCCUUCUGUGUAUAUGUUUGUCUUAUUGGUUGUUGAAUAAAGCACUGUUGGCCAAUAGGGGAGCAAGAUAGGUGGGACUAGGAGUAGAGAAUUCUGGGAAAUGUAGUAAAAAGAAGUCUUGUGAUCCAGGCAGGAAGUGACACAGCAGGAAGGCUCAGAAUAUAAACAGGGACACGCAAAAAAUCGCUCUCUUCCUCUUCCUCCUGCUCUCUUCUCUGGAGCCACCAGAUGAGCCUGACAAGAAAGGAUGCAUGCCGCCGGUGUCCUCGAUCAGAGGGCUGAGUGGGCAUGCAAGCCAAUGACUGCCUAUCUGGGAUGCAGCAGAGAAAGCUGAGUGACUGUCUAUGUGAGGUGCCAAUGGGAGCUACCACCGGGAGCUGCACUGUGAUUACAGCUCUGAAAACCAGGUUCCCCAGCUGCACUGAGUACUGUAGAGGAGACUAAAGGCAGAAAAGUGGUGUCUCCAGGAGGGCAGGUGUUGGCAGGUAUAAGGGAAGCAGCUUGCAGAGGAGGA
rnacentral:lncRNA from 1 species